AAAAAAAAAAAAAAAAAAGGCUUCCAAUCAUGACAAAAAAACGAACAACCACAAAUUGCAAAAUUAACGGAAUAUGCUAAAAUAAAACCCAAAUCACCAAUCACCAAUCUUCAGGCCUUUGAUGGAAAAAGAUAAAUUUCAGAAACAAAUAAAGCACAUAGAAUCAAAGAUAGUCUAACAUCACCGACUAAACAAGCCAUCCACGAUCAUUAAAAGACCAACAUAGACUGCAAAACGACAGCAAAUUUUCAAAUGAAACCCAAAUCACUAAGCUUUAGGGCAUUGAUGGACAUCAAUUUCCCAAGCAAAUACGAAUUACCGGGAACACCACCGCGCAAGGGAUUAAACAACGAAACUAAUUAGCAGAUCAUACCAUAUAAACAAUCAAACACAUCUCCAUGAACAUAAAAGAAAAACAGAAGAUAUUUUCCAAUCUAAUAUUAAUGGCGGAGGUAAGUGUUACCUGAGAAAGAAGAGAGCAAACUCG
rnacentral:misc_RNA from 1 species